GAAUGCACUUCCAUGUGUAGCAGAUGAAACUGCGCAGAGAUAGGGAAGCACACAGCCAGUGGCGACGGCUGUCUUUUCUCGUCUGUAACUGACGCUGAUGUGAGAAAGCGUGGGGAUCAAACAGGAUUAGAUACCUGGUAGUCCACGCCGUAAACGAUGAGUGCUAAGUGUUAGGGGGGUUUCCGCCCCUUUAGUGCUGCAGCUAACGCAUUAAGCACUCCGCCUGGGGAGUACGACCGCAAGGUUGAAACUCAAAGGAAUUGACGGGGACCCGCACAAGCGGUGGAGCAUGUGGUUUAAUUUGAAGCAACGCGAAGAACCUUACCAAAUCUUGACAUCGUUUGACCACUCUAGAGAUAGAGUUUUCCCCUUCGGGGGACAAAGUGACAGGUGGUGCAUGGUUGUCGUCAGCUCGUGUCGUGAGAUGUUGGGUUAAGUCCCGCAACGAGCGCAACCCUUAAACUUAGUUGCCAGCAUUUAGUUGGGCACUCUAGGUUGACUGCCGGUGACAAACCGGAGGAAGGUGGGGAUGACGUCAAAUCAUCAUGCCCCUUAUGAUUUGGGCUACACACGUGCUACAAUGGACAAUACAAAGGGCAGCUAAACCGCGAGGUCAUGCAAAUCCCAUAAAGUUGUUCUCAGUUCGGAUUGUAGUCUGCAACUCGACUACAUGAAGCUGGAAUCGCUAGUAAUCGUAGAUCAGCAUGCUACGGUGAAUACGUUCCCGGGUCUUGUACACACCGCCCGUCACACCACGAGAGUUUGUAACACCCGGAAGCCGGUGGGAGUUACCCAUUUAUGGAAGCUUGCCCGGUCGAGAGGUGGGCUUAAUCCCCUGG
rnacentral:rRNA from 1 species